CCCAAAAGCGAUGAAAUUCUUCAAAGGAAACGUUUGAAUUUUCAGGUCCACGAGAACCUAUUAAAUUUUCCUGAAACACGAAGGAAAUAAAAUGUUAAAAGUAUUUAAAGUUACAUCAAAGAUACACUUUAAUGUUGAUAUUAUUAUGCAGGAAGGAGCCCAGGACACAAGAGUGCUUGGAGCCUGGCAAAGCUAUAAUCCCGCCCUGCCUGGCCCCUUCCGGGUACAGGGAGCCUAAGGGCUGUGUUUGCUCUUGGAAGUUUCCAUGGAGGGUCGCUUCUUGGGGGCAGCUGCGCAAGGACGGUUUCUGCUUGCAGGGGACCCCGCUGGAUUUGAGGACUGGUCUUAAGAGGCUUCUGCUGGAAAGACAAACUAAUUGGUGUUGACAGGCUGAGGGGGUUAAAACUGUUUGUUGUUGUUUGAGAGAAGUUUUGUUGUUUGUUUUUAGCAGACUUACACCUGCUGCCUGGCUGUGGGGCUUUGUCAAAUGAUGGGGCCACCGUGUUUCACUUGACCUGAGCUCUGUCUUCUAGAGAGUAUUCAGACAUGGCCAGACCGUGCCCCUGAAUUCCCAGCAAACUUCCCAGCGGAUCCGCUGCCCCCGGAGAACCGUGUCUGCCCAGACUGUGGCAGGCCUCUCUUUUCAUCUGUGCGGAUGGGUCACAUUCAGCAGCUUGGGUCCCGAGUCGCCUCUCGGAAAAAGCUUCUUUAUCUUCGGUGAAUUUCAGACACGAGUGUUCCUGUGAUGAACGUAUUACAGAAUUGGCUUCAUGUCCACUGUUCGGCUGGUCACAAAACAGCCAGGAAAUAACAAGGCUUCGGGAAACAUGGCACAGAAACGUCCCUGUGCUCACGAGGGGCUGAUCGUGUUCUUGGUUCUCCUCGGCAAGUCUGUGUCUGGCCUGGUGUCAUGGCAGCAGCUGGGCCCUUUCCCCACUUCUCAAAUCAAUAAAAGCACUGAUCAUCAA